CACGUAGGGUGCGAGCGUUGUCCGGAAUUAUUGGGCGUAAAGAGCUCGUAGGCGGUGUGUCGCGUCGGCCGUGAAAACCCGGGGCUCAACCCCGGGCCUGCAUUCGAUACGGGCAGACUAGAGUUCGGUAGGGGAGUCUGGAAUUCCUGGUGUAGCGGUGAAAUGCGCAGAUAUCAGGAGGAACACCAAUUGCGAAGGCAGCUCGCUGGAACGUAACUGACGCUGAGACGCGAAAGCGUAGGGAGCAAACAGG
rnacentral:rRNA from 1 species